rnacentral:rRNA from 1 species
UACGUAGGGUGCAAGCGUUAAUCGGAAUUACUGGGCGUAAAGCGUGCGCAGGCGGUGAUGUAAGACAGGUGUGAAAGUCAAAGGCUCAACCUUUGAAUGCCGCUGGAAACUGUCUGGCUUGAGUCCGGAAGGGGCGAGUGGAAUUCCUGGUGUAGCGGUGAAAUGCGCAGAUAUCAGGAGGAACACCAAUGGCGAAGGCAGCUCGCUGGAACGGUACUGACGCUGGAGGCGACGAAAGCGUGGGGAGCAAACAGG